rfam:Gasterosteus aculeatus cont1.003158, whole genome shotgun sequence.
UGGUUGAAAGCAUGUAAGUCGCUUUGGAUAAAAGCGUCAGCUAAAUGACAUUUA